rnacentral:rRNA from 1 species
AUUGAACGCUGGCGGCAUGCCUUACACAUGCAAGUCGAACGGUAACAGGGAGCUUGCUCCGCUGACGAGUGGCGAACGGGUGAGUAAAGUAUCGGAACGUACCUUUCAGUGGGGGAUAACGCAGCGAAAGUUACGCUAAUACCGCAUAUUCUGUGAGCAGGAAAGCAGGGGAUCGCAAGACCUUGCGCUGAUUGAGCGGCCGAUAUCAGAUUAGCUAGUUGGUGAGGUAAAGGCUCACCAAGCCAACGAUCUGUAGCUGGUCUGAGAGGACGACCAGCCACACUGGAACUGAGACACGGUCCAGACUCCUACGGGAGGCAGCAGUGGGGAAUUUUGGACAAUGGACGCAAGUCUGAUCCAGCCAUUCCGCGUGCAGGAUGAAGGCCCUCGGGUUGUAAACUGCUUUGUACGGACGAAAAGGUUUCUAUUAAUACUAGGAGCUCAUGACGGUACCGUAAGAAUAAGCACCGGCUAACUACGUG